GCAGCCGCCGCGGGAAUACAGAGGGUGCGAGCGUUAAUCGGAUUUACUGGGCGUAAAGCGUGCGUAGGCGGCUAAUUGAGUCGGAUGUGAAAUCCCCGAGCUUAACUUGGGAAUUGCAUUCGAUACUGGUUAGCUAGAGUGUGGGAGAGGAUGGUAGAAUUCCAGGUGUAGCGGUGAAAUGCGUAGAGUUCUGGAGGAAUACCGAUGGCGAAGGCAGCCAUCUGGCCUAAUACUGACGCUGAGGUACGAAAGCAUGGGGAGCAAACAGGAUUAGAUACCCCGGUAGUCCCUGUCUCUUAUAC
rnacentral:rRNA from 1 species